CUUGAGGGGAAGGGCCCUGCUCCACAAAGGCGGGCUGGUUUGCUGAAGCCGGGUAGGCCUUUGUUUGCUCAUUCACCCAGCAUGUGGAUCCAAGCCCUAGACGAGGCACCGGGCUAGGAUACAGAAUGGAAGGUGUAUGAGAGCUGGGAUUUUUAUCUGUUUUGCUGUAUGAAGUAGAUGAGGGAAGAAUCAAGACUGAUGAUAAGAUUAUUUCAACUCAACAUACCAGUAAAACCGGCUCCAAGAUCAAGACAGAGAAUAUUUCCAGCCCCGAGAAGCUGCCCUGGCUCUCCUUCUGGUCAGUACCCACCCCUGCCCCCAAGGGUAACCACUCUCCCGUCACCAGGAGCCCACCCGGUCUGGACCUUCCUGUCAGUGAGACCAGCGUGUGAUUUUUUGCAGGCGUGGGCUUUCUGCACUCGGCAUGAGCUCCGCCCCUGCUGCUGCCUGUAGCCAGGGUGACCAGUGGGCUUUUACCUUAAGCAGCAGGUAGACAGUGGGGCUGGUGACAGCUGCGGGGAUCCAGAGUUCUGGGAGGUGUGGCGGACCAGCUGGGCCCAGGACUGGGGUUGGAGGUGAAAGUCAGGCAACGUCAGCUCAUCGACAGCAUUUCAAGCCGUGGAAUUUGAGUACUAUUGAGCUGGCCGUGCCACUGAUGGAAUCGUUUCUUGCUGCUGCAAAAUUGAGAGCCACAUGCUACAGGUCAGGCCUUCUGCCCCCCUAUCCGCUGUGAGGUGCUUGAAGGACUGGUUUGGAAACAGACCCCUAUUUCAGAAGCAGAGUUGAGGCUUAGCAAGGGAGAAUGACUGGCCCAAAGUCACUCGGCUGGUAGGUUUGGGCCAGGACUCCUCGCUCCGCACUGGACACCCCUGCACUGCCUUCUGGGUGUGCCAGGUUGGCAUGGGGAGGCUGGGCUCACACCCAAAUCAGGACAUAGCCUAUCGUGAGGGUCUGGGUGAGCUGGGAGGUGUUCAGAAUAGAAGAGCAACCCAUGAAGGCUCCCCGGAGGAAGCAGGCCUGGCGCUGAGUCACAGGAGCCUGGGGCAGGGUAACCCCCACCUGAAGUCACUGUCUCCCCAGCAGUGACAUCAUUAGCAAGCCAGAAUGCGCAGGGCAUACAGCUGGAGGACCAGGCAAGCUGAGGCGGGGGCCAAGUGGGUAGUUCGGGGCCAACCCCCAUCAGCGGCCAAUGGCCUCUAGAAGAUGGCUGGGCCUCACACGCCUUGGAAACCAGAGCGAGAGGCCAUCAGGGUGGGGAAGGCAGCCCAUCACCUCCUGUCCAAGUGCCUCAUUUUACAGGUAGAGGAACUGAGGCCUGAGGCAGGUCAUGACUAUCCCAGGAUUACACGGCAAGUGAGGGGCGGAUGCAGGAGAGGGGCCCAGGCCUCCUCCCUCCCAACAGUGUUCUGUCUACCCUCCAAGUUCUGUCUCGCCCAGCCAAGGGCCACUCUGCUCCCGCACUGCUGGGCUGGGGUGGUGGAAGAGAUGGGAAAGUGGAAGAAGGCAGGGGCUGUGUUCAGAAGGGGCCCCUGAGGCUGUGAGGAUGGUCCAUGCCCUCAGGGAGUCAGGCUGGUGGAGGGGGAGGGAGCACAACUCAGAACUCAUCUUCCUCCCCAACACGCUCCUCCCACAGUCCUAUCUCCUCACCAGGCCCAGGAGCUGGCGCCUCAGCAACUGCUGCAUUUUCAGGAAUUUUGCAAACUGGCUUCAAAACACAGCCAUAAUUAGACGUCAAAGUAUUUAAACUUACAGUUCAGGGCCAGGCAUGGUGGCUCACGCCUGUAAUCCCAGCACUUUGGGAGGCCGAGGCAGGUGGAUCACUUGAGGUCAGGAGUUCAAGACCAGCCUGGCCAACAUGGUGGAACCCAGUCUCUACUAAAAAUACAAAAAAAAAAAAGAAAAAAGAAAAAACUAGCCAGGCGUGGUGGCGCACACUUGUAAUCACAGCAACUCAGGAGGCUGAGGCAGGAGAAUCACUUGAACCUGGAAGGCAGAGGUUGCAGUGAGCUGAUAUCGCACCACUGCAUUCCAGCCUGGGUGACAGGGCAAGACUCUGUCUCAAAAAAAACAAAAGAACAACAACAAAAAAAAACUUACAAUUUCAAUAAACAUUCAAAACUCAUCACCCCCCAA